GCGUUCGCUGCCGCAUCUGCAAUAUGCAGCCGUGUUCGUCGCAGCAAGACUUACGUGCGUAUUAGCGUGCCGUUUACAAUGACGUGCCCUAUGAUGGCACACUCUAUACGUGGAUGCCACRGUACGGCUACAUGGAGCCAUGCGCGUUAGCAUGCAGCGAAGCGGAUGUGAUUAAAAAAUAUACAGAUAUUUCGUAUGUGGUAGAGGUGAGCAGCUCCUGUUCGCAGCCCGUUUAGAAUUGGGAGAUAGUGGCUACAAGAUGUCUCAAGGGGUGUGUCGAAAUCGUGUCACUGAGGACUAAUGCGCAGCAGCCCUCAACGGCCGGAAUCAUCAUUCUACAACACGCACACCUGCGCACCACGGUGGAUUACCGAUGAUUGGCGUCCAUGCAGCCGUCUCUGUGGACCUGACUACCUCAGCGCUUAGUGAUGUCUGCGGAAGAGAAUAAUGGCAUCAAGGCAACGGUACUGAACGUGUCGAGCGCCGAAAACAGCCAGCUUUGCAUGCUUGAGAAGUGCCCGAAAGGGAAGAUGGAAGAGUGACAUGGA